rnacentral:rRNA from 1 species
UGAGGAAUCUUGGGCAAUGGGGGGAAACCCUGACCCAGCCACGCCGCGUGGAGGAAGACACCCUUACGGGGCGUACACUCCUUUUGUGCGAGAAGAAGGUCCCGUUCGUCGGGAUUUGACGGUACCGCACGAAUAAGCACCGGCUAACUCCGUGACAGCAGCCGGGGUAAUACGGAGGGUGCAAGCGUUGUCCGGAAUGAUUGGGUGUAAAGGGUGUGUAGGCGGACUUGUAAGUCAGAGGUGAAAGCCCGCGGCUUAACCGCGGAAUUGCCCCUGAUACUGCAAGUCUUGAGUCCUGGAGAGGUCGCUGGAAUUCGUGGUGUAGCGGUGAAAUGCGUAGAUAUCACGAGGAACACCAGAGGUGUAGACGGGUGACUGGACAGGAACUGACGCUGAGGCACGAAAGCGUGGGGAGCAAACAGGAUUAGAUACCCCCGUAGU